rnacentral:rRNA from 1 species
CUACGGGUUGCUGCAGUCGAGAAUCUUCCGCAAUGCGCGAAAGCGUGACGGAGCAAUGCCGCGUGGUGGAUGAAGGCCUUCGGGUUGUAAACACCUGUCACAUGGGACGAACUUUGACGGUACCAUGAGAGGAAGCCACGGCUAACUACGUGCCAGCAGCCGCGGUAAUACGUAGGUGGCGAGCGUUGUUCGGAUUUAUUGGGCGUAAAGGGUCCGCAGGGGGUUUGUUAAGUCUGAUGUGAAAUCCCGGGGCUCAACCCCGGAACUGCAUUGGAGACUGAUGAACUAGAGUAUCGGAGAGGUAAAUGGAAUUCCUGGUGUAGCGGUGGAAUGCGUAGAUAUCAGGAAGAACACCGAGAGCGAAGGCAAUUUACUGGACGAUUACUGACCCUCAGGGACGAAAGCGUGGGUAGCGAACAGGAUUAGAUACCCCGGUAGUC